GAGGGUUUUACUUGAUGUGACAGUGAGCUGAUCUCAGUGUUGGUCUGAUAUCAUUGAGCAGCAGGAUGGAGGAAACGUCUCUGCUGUGUCUGCUCUUUCUGAUCUCACUGCUGAGCUGCACCACAAACCAAGUAAUUCCAGAACCAGAUGAUGGACACUGGAGGUGAAGGGAGCUGUCAUGCAGAAGAAGGAAUCUUACCAGGCUUGGUUAGCCUGUGGGACUCCAGAAGAGA